AUCACCACAAAAAUGCAGUGAAAGACCUCUCUAGAAUACAAACAUUUCUACACUUGAAUUGUAUAAAUAAGAGCUCCCUUCUACUUAUAGUCAACUAUUUAUUCAAUCAAUCGUCCUCAACAAGCCUCAUAGUUUCCUCUUUAAGGUGAUAACUAACUGAACGUCCGUGCCGACAUUACAUUGUGUGAUUGCUUGAACAUGGCCGAAAGAUUUUCAAUCAAUAUGAUCACACCUACAACUCAAGAUUGGACAUGUAAGGCUCAAGUGGUUGACAAAUGCCGACCAAGGGACAACAUAUAUGGAAACAAAAAGUAUCAACUCUUGAUACUUCAAGAUGAAGAAGCCCUUUUACCAUUCCUACGAUUUCAUGUUAAAUAUUGAUGAGGGAUACUUAAAUAUGAUAGAUGUGUGUUCCUUGUAGUUUUUCUAUUAUUCCAACAGUUACACUUG